rnacentral:rRNA from 1 species
CGUGCAGGCGGGUUGGUAAGUCAGAUGUGAAAGCCCUGGGCUCAACCCAGGAAGUGCAUUUGAAACUGCCAUCCUUGAGUAUGGGAGAGGAGAGUGGAAUUCCCAAUGUAGAGGUGAAAUUCGUAGAUAUUGGGAGAACGGGACCCUGGCGAAGGCGACUCUCUGGACCAAUACUGACGCUGAGACGCGAAAGCGUGGGGAGCAAACA